rnacentral:lncRNA from 1 species
UGCUGCUUUCACUGGCCCGGUGGGGGCCAGCAGGGUCAGGGCCCGCGGAAACCCUCAGCCUGGCGGGCCGGGAGGCCGCGGUGCUGCACUGGCUCGGCGCGCUCCCCGAGUGGCGCUCAGGCGGGGCGCGUUCAUUUCAUCUACAGACUGUCGGGAAGGCUUCCCGAACUCCUCCUCCCUGCCCGCCUUUGCGCAGGGCCGGACUCUUCGGAAACUGAAAUCACGGGCCGCCCGGCCCCCACCAGUCCUCGUGGGAUCCGGCCCGGGUUAACCUUCUAUGGGGAGGCCCAGGAGGGCCGGGCGGAGCGCCGGGGCGGGCGUGCGCUGACGUGGCGAGCGGCUCCCUCCACCCGCUCCUCCCGCGGGCACUGCCGAGGCCCAUGGGCGGGAAGCCGGGCGGCGGGCGGGACGUGGCCUCGGUCCCGGCCCUGCCCCGCCCCGCCGCCACUGAGACUCCCAGCGCCACCAACGUCGGAGUUGCAGUUUCUUUAGCUGUCAUAUGCAGACAAGUACUACCCACCUCGCCUUUGGAGUGAGCAGCAUAGGAAGGAAAUAUGGUUAUACUUUCCUUGCUAAGGAAAUCCAACCCUCCACAAGGCAGCUUUCUUCCCAUCCCCUUGACCUUUUAGGAAAAAGCCCUGUGCCCAUCCUGCUGUGAUUCAGGAGUCUCGCAGAAGACAUCAGAAUGCCUUUCUCUGAGUCACAGUCUGUAUCUUCUAGAAAAGGCUGUCCAUCUUCACCCCAAGCCCACUGGCUCCUGAGAUACGACAUCCAGACCCAGUGCAGCUGGACCUGGCCCAGGAAGAUCAUGCGGUUUCUGGGAAGCACUGGAGAAGGAAAAGGCUGAAGAAAGGAAGACCGGAAAAGAAAUACAAGUCCUUCCGCCUUGGCAAAGAUGAUAGUACCGUUCCCUUCAGUGUUCCGGUUCUGCUCUAUUGGAUAAGUUCCGGUUUGACUAUGACUACGUGAAAAUGUGGAACCAGACCUUCACCCCACAUUCCAGCUCCAGCUCUACCACAGAGGAAGUGCAAUAUCACCUUAGUUAUUCAACACAUUAUGCUCCUCGUGAUACAACCAGAGUUCACAUCAGCAAUCUUGGCAGCUCUCACCACGCUGCUGACUCACGACUCUCUCAUGUCCCAAUUUCCUGUCCAUUGUUCUUUCCUCUACUUGGCCUGAUUUCUAAAGGCCUCUCUUGGUUGCAUUAAGCGGGAUUCCUGAGGGAUUCCCUUGGCAGUUACCUUGGGGGAGCUCUUAGGUUUGGGGCUGAUCCAUGUCCUCUAAAUGUAGGACUUCAAAGCUCCCAAAGAUAGGCAGGCCCAGUGGGAAGCUGGGAAAUGCUCUCUGACCCCUCUGGGAGGGCUGGCAGUCAGAGGGCCUUUUGGAAAGAGUCAGACCUGAUCCAUAAGUCCCUGGAAAACACCCUGCCCAGGGAGCAAAUGCCACUGUGGCCUUGACUGAGGCUUCAGAAGAGUUUGGGAGCUGCAAUUCAUCCACACACGCAUUCAUUUUCAAGUAGUGGUUUGCAGUUCAGGCUUUGGAGCCACAUAAGCCUGGCUUCAAAGCCACUUUCCAGCUUUGUAGGAAGUCUCUACAUUUUUAAACCUCCAUUUUUUUUUCCUGUAAAACUGGGGUCUUCAUGGUACUUAACUUCAUCGUGAUGUUGAGAGAAUGAAAAGAAAAAGGAUAAAUAAAUGGCUUAGCCUCGUGCCUUGGCACA